CCUGACGACACAGCCCAACGGAAUUGGAACCCACGUAUCCAGGCACCCACAUUCCAGAGAAAACCCCCCUGCCCAGCUCAUUUCUGGGCAGAUCCUGAAGGAAGCGCCAUGUUCUGCUGCUGCCUACCGAAGCCCAGAGGAUGCAGGCAGAGGAGAGCUCGCCCGCCAAACACGUCCCCCCACUGGGCAGGUCGUGUCAGGCUUCCCCGACGACUCUGGCCCUUUGGCAAAAAGAAUCAAAAGGCCACGGAUGAACUAGGAAGGAGGCGGGAAGACACGCACUCCUCGCCGACCCCGGAGUCCCCGGUCCUGGGAAGGCCUCCGGUACCUCCCAGAACACUGCCCGCGGUACUCCACUGGACUGCGGUCCUGGACACGGAGCCCACGGAGGCCAAGUCCGAGGCUUCUCCAGUGGAGGAGCUAGACCCACUCCCAACUUCAGCAACUCCGGAGGGG